GUGGGGAAUCUUGCGCAAUGGGCGAAAGCCUGACGCAGUCAUGCCGCGUGAAUGAUGAAGGUCUUAGGAUUGUAAAAUUCUUUCACCGGGGACUAUAAUGACGGUACCCGGAGAAGAAGCCCCGGCUAACUUCGUGCCAGCAGCCGCGGUAAUACGAAGGGGGCUAGCGUUGCUCGGAAUUACUGGGCGUAAAGGGCGCGUAGGCGGACAGUUUAGUCAGAGGUGAAAGCCCAGGGCUCAACCUUGGAAUUGCCUUUGAUACUGGCUGUCUUGAGUACGGGAGAGGUGAGUGGAACUCCGAGUGUAGAGGUGAAAUUCGUAGAUAUUCGGAAGAACACCAGUGGCGAAGGCGACUCACUGGCCCGUUACUGACGCUGAGGCGCGAAAGCGUGGGGAGCAAACAGGAUUAGAUACCCGAGUAGUCC
rnacentral:rRNA from 1 species